CCUCCUCUUCCUCUCGCGCAGCUUCUCCCUCACAACACGAACCCGAGCGAAGUCGUCGCCGUGCCUUCAUGGCCAUGGUCGUCCCCGAGCGACGACGAGAUGUCUAGAGGCAGCGCCGUCCUCUUCUCCGUCGACUUCAACCACUGGACCAAGCCGGGAGGCCCUCGCGCGUCGCCAUCGCGCUCUUCUCCGCCUCUGCAUCUCGACGGCCGCCGUCGUCAAUUCGGCCGAUCCGCUGCAACCCCGAGCCCGCCGACCCUCACUGCCGCACCAAUACCCCGAGACCGCUGCCGCUGUGAUCGACUACGUCGACGACGACCCCUCCUUGCUAGAGCAACCAG
rnacentral:rRNA from 1 species